rnacentral:rRNA from 1 species
AUUGAACGCUGGCGGCAGGCCUAACACAUGCAGGUCGAACGGUAACAGGAAGCAGCUUGCUGCUUCGCUGACGAGUGGCGGACGGGUGAGUAGUGUCUGGGAAACUGCCUGAUGGAGGGGGAUAACUACUGGAAACGGUAGCUAAUACCGCAUAACGUCGCAAGACCAAAGAGGGGGACCUUAGGGCCUCUUGCCAUCGGAUGUGCCCAGAUGGGAUUAGCUAGUAGGUGGGGUAACGGCUCACCUAGGCGACGAUCCCUAGCUGGUCUGAGAGGAUGACCAGCCACACUGGAACUGAGACACGGUCCAGACUCCUACGGGAGGCAGCAGUGGGGAAUAUUGCACAAAGGGCGCAAGCCUGAUGCAGCCAUGCCGCGUGUAUGAAGAAGGCCUUCGGGUUGUAAAGUACUUUCAGCGGGGAGGAAGGGAGUAAAGUUAAUACCUUUGCUCAUUGACGUUACCCGCAGAAGAAGCACCGGCUAACUCCGUG